GGCUAUGGCGGGCGGUGCGUUGGGGGCGUUCGCGCCCGCCGGCUUGAGGCCAACCCGGAUUCGAACCACGUACCGCCCGCCACCUU
rnacentral:antisense_RNA from 10 species